UUGCUGCUUGUAAUGUAAUUUCCAUUUUUUAUUAUAGAAUUCUUAUGAAAUGUUUUCCUUUCUUUAUUUCAUUAUUAUGCUUAUUUUAGCAAAUAACAAGUUGACUUUCUAUAAAUCAUAUUUUUGUUUUUCUGUUUCGGAAGCCGUGUAAUGGUUACAUCUUCGAUAUAGUUGGGAAGGUUUAAAACUAAGUAUGUAUCACUUAAUUAUUAUUCAGGAGUGGGUUUAUCUACUGACACUAUUUCUAUAAGAAUUACAGAAUUACAUGCAUGUUACAGUGACGGAAGCAAUGACACGCCCAGAAGGAAACUGGAAGCUGUACCAUGAGGUCGGAAGCUGCAACCACUGGACUUGGCGGAUAAAAAUCAGAAAACCAAUAUACUGGAGCCAAUAGAACUCACUGAAACAAGGAAAUUAAAGAAGAAAAAGAAACGAAGAUCGAAGAAGGAAAAGCGCAGGACGAUGGCGAAUAUUAGGUUGACUCGUACGGUUAUGUUGCUCCCUGUGAUGAACAAUGUCUGACCCAGAAAAAGUAUUGUAUAAGAGUCAGUUGUACAGGUUGUCAGCUGUGGAUCAUAUGUUGGUCAGCAGCAUUGUUUAAUAUGUUUUAGUGUGAAUUGUCAUUAUUCCGUCCUUAGUUGUCUUGAGAAACUUGACCAUAUCUUAGAUGAAAUGUGUACGUAUAUUACGAUGAAGUACAAAAUUAUAACUAAGAUAAAUGCACAGCGCGCACUCUACAUAGGCAAGAAUACAGAUAAAAUUUUGACUGUUACAAACUAGAAUAAUUGUACAUCUGACAACUGAACAUUUUCGAAACGUUUUUGGAUUUUUCAACACGAUCUUAAAAUCCGGAUUUUAAUCUUCUCUCCUCUGUGGCCAUUUAGAUAGUCAAAAAUGCAUAUUAAACUAUAUGUUAAAAACAUAGAAAUUAUUAGUUGGUAGUUGUUUGCAAGACCUUAGUAUUUGUCCUUUGGCAAUUUUAACAACCUCAGGAAAUAUUAUAUGUUGCUAUGGAGUAAAUAUUCCGCACGUUUGGAAUUCGCACCUAAUUAUAAACUGUUUACCGGCCCAGAACUUGUGUAUGGGUGUCAAACGAUACAGUGUUUCUUGUUAAUCAUGAAUAAAAAUAUCCUGAAAUUCAUUUUCAUAUUGUUAAGUUUAUAUAAACAAAUAGCCCGGGUUAGCAAAGGUCAACUGAGAGGAUUCUUAUCGUUUUAUUUUGUCUUGCAAAACAGUUACUCUAUAUGUGGGUCAUAUGGAAAAUAUUUUGUUUGAACAUUGUAUUCUUGAUCUUAUAUAAGUUUGUGAACGCUUUUGGUGUAAAGACUGAAACAACCGUCCAUACUAUAAAAUUGGCAGCUUUGUAUGAUAAGUACUAUAGAAUGAUUAAUAUCUAUGUAUCUUUGAAACUUUGUUAGAAGAUUUAACACGUCGGUGACGACGGUCUGUGUAUAUAUAACAAAACUAUGUUAAAAGGAAAGUGUUUGGAUAUUGAAAAAAAAUACAAAUAGGUAAAGAAAGUACAGUGUUUGAUUUCAUCGUAAAUUUAGUUACUGUUCCGCGUUUAACGGGAUCUUCUGUAUUUUUUGUUGCAAACAAAAUGUCUGUCACAACUGCAAUGCAUGCCGUCCAAAAUGUAGGCCUUUAACACCAAAGUAAAGAUUAUGAAAAGUUCUUUUUACACAACCAAUAAGUGUUUAUAUGUGACGUUCCAAUGACUAGUACGGUAUGAACACUGUCACCUUCAUCAGACAAAUGGGCAGUGAAGCGUACGAACACAAAAGUGUUAAAUGUGUACGAGUUGUACACAAAAUCGAUGUCGCUUCCGCUACGCUGUAAGCGAAUGUACAAUAGUUGUUAUGUAUGUACCGAGAUGACUCGAGUCAUCGAAACAUUACUUACUUACCAACCUGAAGAAAAUGUUUUGAAACAAAGUGAAGCAGCACUCAGGAGGAGGACUUUUCUGUGCUUUCUGUUGCAUUUUGACUACUUUUCUUGACCCUACCAAACAUCUGUUGGAAUUUGCCGUCAUACAUUCGACUUAAAAGAACGGUGAACGAUACGAUUAGAUCUGGAAGAAAGACCAGAGCAAUUUCAGUUCUUGAAAAUAUUUCUUAUGAAUUAUUGUAUUAAGAAAACGAAAUGUUAACAUUUUUGUAUAUAGAUUAUAUCAUUUGUUUUUGUCAUCUCAUAUGUUCUCAUAGGACCAGGUUCGUAAAUCAGGGAUAGACCGAAACUGAAGUUCAUAAUAGUUUUAUUAUAUGACAUUUUAUAAU